UGCAGGAAGAGAAGGAAAGAAACAUUUUUGCUACGUGAUGUGUCACUUGAGCGUGGAGUGUCAACAAACAAGACAUGUAACGAGCGAUGUUAAUACAUUUGUUAUUAGAAGCUGGAGUGAUCGUGAUAGAAGUGCUUUUAAUAGUUAGCAUUAAAACAGGCAUCUGGCUCAAGAGAGAGUAAUUGUGGCUAAAGUGAAAAAGAAAAUCGUUUUCACAAACAAAUGUGUAGAAGGAACUAAAUCAGUGUGAACGUAGUUUAAGAAAGAAAUGGGAAAAAUUAUGCAAGUGGCAAGUGUGGGCGGGAAUGAAGUGUUUAAAAGAAGCGAGCGGAGCCAAAGAUGACCAUUACGGCCGCGGACGAGACUGUAGACGCACACACAAGAGUUACCGGGUUAUCCAUCUUGAGAAUUCCAGUUUGUGAAACGGAUUCGGGGACCUAGACUAAGAUCAUUAUCAAGAUCCCUAUCCAUAAUCUCAUGCUGUUCAUUAUACAACGGCUACGAGUGAAGCCUGCGAAAGAAAAAAAUCAAGAUCUCAUCACUGUUUGUCUGUAAAGCAACAACGAUGAUGAUUCAGGCAAGAACAACGGUAAUUGUGCUGGUGUUAAUAAUGCUGCUGAUGACGCCUUCCUCUGCCGUGUUCUUCCGCAAGUUCUUCAGGCCACUGAGGAUAAGAGUUCACAGGCCGACGAGCUCGGCCAAAUCCCCUCACAGGUUCGGUCCAGGUCCCAUAGGAUUCAGAGGGAGACGCAGUAUAUGAUUCACAAAUCCUGUGGCCGAUGAUGGCUAUGUGAUAAUAUGAUGUAAAUAACACAUAAGUGUAAUGACGGGUUAAGUGGUAGUCGUAAACGAUGGCAAGUGAAAAUAAAGUUAAUGGUGCUUUGGUGUAAAUUGUUGGUGAUGUAAUUGGCGGUCCUUCUAAGGUUUAUAGAUACUGGUUAUGGGUCCUGGAUAUUUAUGGGUGACCCAUUUCGCGCCGAUAAAUGAUUGGGGUUUCGAGUCAUGAAGAAAAUGACAUGGGAAUUUAUGGGUUUUGGUGCAGAAGUAAAAGGUUAGACAAACAAGUGAUAGAUAUUCGGCUUUUCAUGACGCUUGAGGGCAAAUUGGAAAAACGUUUGGAUAAAUGUGAUGAAAAGAAAAUUGGAAUAGCCUUCUCCAAUAAUGCUUGACACAUAUGGAAAACUUAGGAAUGUAUGCCUUUGAAUAAUUAGCGAUGGCCUGAAAGAGGAUAAAAUCCGCAAAGAAAUGGCAGAUAUAUUAGUCCGUCAAAAAAAGGAAAGUAUGUACAAUUAGUUGUAUCGUAUUACUACAGAUGUAAAGUGAAUGUGUGUCAGUCAUAUUCUAAUAUAAGUCUUGUUCCAAAUUGUGUGUGUGUGUGUUUGUGUGUGUGUGUGUGUGUGUGUGUGUGUGUGUGUGUGUGUGUGUUUGUUUGUUAACUAUGUCAGACUAAAAUGGACAAAGAACUAGCAAUAUAUAUUAUAUAUAUAUAUAUAUAUAUAUAUAUAUAUAUGAAUAUAAGUUAUCUAUACCGAACGAAAAUAUUUACCUUAUAUGUAUGUAGUGUUGACGGAUCAUACCAAAUGCCAAUAUUAAGUUUACUCUGACAUUUCCCUGAUAUUUCAAUUUGUGAAAACAUUGCGAAUUAAGUUGAUAAGCAAGGCAAUUUAUGUGUACACUGGUGUUAAAGACGUAUAAUCGUACCUAAGUUGCGAACGUUCUUUGUCCUCACAAGAGUUCCAAAGCACUCUAGUCACCAGUAAAUUAACACGAUUGCUUUGUUUAAAUAUAAACAUAGAGAACUAACCGUUUUUUGUAUCUGUCAAGGCUAACACGGCAACAGGGAACAAUGUUCAGGAAUUUGAAGGAUCGCCCUUGGAGGUGAGGGAGAGUUUGAUGAGUCGGUGAAAUUCUUUUGUUAUCGAGUAUAAUGCACUUUUAUAUGAGAUAACAUCUCCAGCCGACAUCAGGCUCUAUUUGACAAAAUUAUCUGUAUCUAGCUUUUAUCUUUAUUAGUUUCAUAUGGAUGUGUGUAUGUGGAAUAAAGUAGAUAAUAAAUAUAAAGAUCCCUUGUGAU